AAUGGGCGAAAGCCUGACGGAGCAACGCCGCGUGAGGGAUGAAGGCCUCUGGGCUGUAAACCUCUUUUAUCAAGGAAGAAGAUCUGACGGUACUUGAUGAAUAAGCCACGGCUAAUUCCGUGCCAGCAGCCGCGGUAAUACGGGAGUGGCAAGCGUUAUCCGGAAUUAUUGGGCGUAAAGCGUCCGCAGGCGGCCCAGAAAGUCUGCUGUUAAAACGUGGAGCUUAACUCCAUCAUGGCAGUGGAAACUGUUGGGCUUGAGUGUGGUAGGGGCAGAGGGAAUUCCCGGUGUAGCGGUGAAAUGCGUAGAUAUCGGGAAGAACACCAGUGGCGAAGGCGCUCUGCUGGGCCAUAACUGACGCUCAUGGACGAAAGCCAGGGGAGCGAAAGGGAUU
rnacentral:rRNA from 1 species